rnacentral:misc_RNA from 1 species
AAGUCGUAACAAGGUUUCCGUAGGUGAACCUGCGGAAGGAUCAUUAAUGAGAUCAUGCCCCUCCGGGGUAGGACCUCCCACCCCCUGUUUACCGUAGCCCGUUGCUUUGGCGGUUCCCAGUCCGCGGGACGGGCCGCCAGAGGACCUUUAAACCCGUAUUAUCAUUGUCGUCUGAGUACUAUACAAUAGUUAAAA